AAGCUCGUAGUUGAAUUUCGGGGUUCUACCGUUGGUCGGGCUAACCAGUCUGUACUAGCGUGUAGAAUUCCUACCUUCUGGGGAACCAUCAUGUUAUUAAUUUAGCGUGGUGGGAAACCAGGACCUUUACCUUGAAAAAAUUAGAGUGUUCAAAGCAGGCUUACGUCUGAAUACAUUAGCAUGGAAUAAUAAAAUAGGACGGUGGUCCUGUUUUGUUGGUUUCUGAAUCACCGUAAUGAUUAAUAGGAUAGUUGGG
rnacentral:rRNA from 1 species